UAGUGGUUCGAAGACGAGGUGCAGAUGGUAGGAUUCCAGACCGCAGUUUAGGCCGAGCGCAUCUUCAUCUGCAGUAGAGUCAACUGAAUAUCCAGGAGGGUCGUACGAUACGUCUCUUUUGGUGAAGUACGAGCAUCAUGUUGCUUGCCAUUUAUGGUUUGGUGAGGAAAAAGGUCCAAAGAAAGAGUUAAAGGUUGCUGGACAUGGACUGAAGCUGACAUCUAGGGUUCCACUGGCUCUUCCACAACAGGUGGAGAGUUGGGUAUCUAGAUCUGGUUUAUCUUCACUUCAGAGAACUAGUUUGAACAAGAUAGACACGAAUCUUGUCUUUACAUUUGUGGAAAGAUGGCAUCUAGAGACAUCUUCAUUUCAAAUGCCGUUUGGUGAAAUGAGCAUUACUUUGGAUGACGUCUCAUGUCUGCUUCACUUGCCCAUCAGGGGUGUCUUCUGGAGUCCUCAGUGACUCUGAACAUUCAUGCAGGAAUCUGAACAUUCACGCAGGACUCUGAACAGUUAUGAAGGACUUUGAUCAUAUAUCAGAUACAAACGUAUGUCAGAUACAAAGUAUUAAAGGAUCAGACGCCGUUGAGAAAGGAGUACGUCCAAGAAGUUCUGAUUCUGAUCAAAGAAAGACAGAACCAGAAGCUCCAACAUUCUACUGGUCAUAGACUCUGAUAUUUUAGAAGACUAGUACUCUGAGAAGCUCUGAUGAAGUCAGACGUGAUCAUCCUCUGAAGAAUAACUCUGGUACAUCAAGACUCUGAUAAAGAUUCACAAGUCCAGAAAGCAUAACAGAAAUAAUUCUCACUAUGGAAAGGAAGUAUUUUAAGAAAGAAUUUAAAAGGGAGACAAAAUGGUUAUAGAAAGAAACACAGAAGUAAUGACAUUGAAUACUCAUCAAAGACCAAGAUUAUGUCAUCACUCUAACAGUCCUUCUCAACUACUAUAUAAAGGACAAUUUACCUCACUAGAGAGACACGCA